rnacentral:rRNA from 1 species
ACGGCUCAGUAACACGUAGCUAACCUACUCUUAGGUCAAGGAUAACCUCGGGAAACUGAGGAUAACACUUGAUAGAAAAUUUUUUCUGGAAUGAGAAAUUUUUGAAACUCGAGCCUAAGAAUGGGGCUGCGGCUGAUUAGCUAGUUGUUGGUGUAAUAGACUAACAAGGCAAUGAUCAGUAAGGGUUCUUAGCGGAAGAGCCCUGAGAAGGAAUCUGAGACACUAUUCCUAGCUCUACGGGGUGCAGCAGUUAAGGAAAUUUUACAAUGCACGCAAGAGUGAUAAAAUCAACCAGAGUGUUUUCUUUUAGAAAACUUUUGUCUGUUGCAAAAAGACAGACGAAUAAGGACUGGGCAAGACCGGUGCCAGCCGCCGCGGUAAUCCCGGCGGUCCAAGUCGCAUCCACAAUUAUUGGGUCUAAAACAUCCGUAGCUUGUUUUGUAAGUCUCUUGUGAAAUUUCAUAUCUCAAGUAUGAAGCGUGCAAGAGAUACUACUUAACUAGAGACCGGAAGACGCAAAGAGUACGAUGGAGGUAGCGGUAAAAUGUGUUAAUCUUUAUCGGACUAACAAUGGCGAAGGCACUUUGCGAGUACGGAUCUGACAGUGAGGGAUGAAGGCUAGGGGCGCAAAAGGGAUUAGAUACCCCCGUAGUCCUAGCAGUAAACCCUGCACACUAAACAUCGGUGCCUCUUCGAGAGGCGUCGGUGCUGUAGCGAAGGCGAAGAGUGUGCUACCUGGGAAGUAUAGUCGCAAGGCCGAAACUUAAAGGAAUUGGCGGGGGAGCA